CUGGGCGUNAAGCGCACGCAGGCGGUCUGUUUAAGUCAGAUGUGAAAUCCCCGGGCUUAACCUGGGAACUGCAUUUGAAACUGGCAGGCUUGAGUCUCGUAGAGGGGGGUAGAAUUCCAGGUGUAGCGGUGAAAUGCGUAGAGAUCUGGAGGAAUACCGGUGGCGAAGGCGGCCCCCUGGACGAAGACUGACGCUCAGGUGCGAAAGCGUGGGGAGCAAACAGGAUUAGAUACCCUGGUAGUCCACGCCGUAAACGAUGUCGACUUGGAGGUUGUGCCCUUGAGGCGUGGCUUCCGGAGCUAACGCGUUAAGUCGACCGCCUGGGGAGUACGGCCGCAAGGUUAAAACUCAAAUGAAUUGACGGGGGCCCGCACAAGCGGUGGAGCAUGUGGUUUAAUUCGAUGCAACGCGAAGAACCUUACCUGGCCUUGACAUCCAGAGAACUUAGCAGAGAUGCUUUGGUGCCUUCGGGAACUCUGAGACAGGUGCUGCAUGGCUGUCGUCAGCUCGUGUUGUGAAAUGUUGGGUUAAGUCCCGCAACGAGCGCAACCCUUAUCCUUUGUUGCCAGCGGNUCAUGCCGGAA
rnacentral:rRNA from 1 species